AUGGGGAAAAAUUGGGGAAAAUUGGGGAAAAAUUGGGGAAAAAUGGGGAAAAAAUGGGGGAAAUUGGGGAAAAAUUGGGGAAAAAAAUGGGGGGAAAUGGGGGAAAAAAAUGGGGGGAAAUUGGGGAAAAAAUGGGGAAAAUUGGGGAAAAAUUGGGGAAAAAAUGGAGAAAAAAUGGGGAAAAAUUGGGGAAAAAAUGGAGAAAAAAUGGGGAAAAAUGGGGAAAAAUGGGGAAAAAUUGGGGAAAAAUUGGGGAAAAAUGGGGAAAAAUGGGGAAAAAUGGGGGAAAAAAUGGAGAAAAAUGGGGAAAAAAUGGGGAAAAAUGGGGAAAAAUGGGGAAAAAUUGGGGGAAAAAUGGGGAAAAAUUGGGGAAAAUUGGGGAAAAAAUGGAGAAAAAAUGGGGAAAAAAUGGGGAAAAAUUGGGGAAAAUUGGGGAAAAAAUGGAGAAAAAAUGGGGAAAAUUGGGGAAAAAUUGGGGAAAAAUUGGGGAAAAAUGGGGAAAAUGGGGAAAAAAUGGGGAAAAAUUGGGGAAAAUUGGGGAAAAAUUGGGGAAAAUGGGGAAAAAUUGGGGAAAAAUGGGGAAAAAUUGGGGGGAAAAAAUGGAGAAAAAAUGGAGAAAAAUGGAGAAAAAAUGGGGAAAAUGGGGGAAAAAUGGGGGAAAAAUGGGGAAAAAAUGGGGAAAAAUGGGGGAAAAUUGAAGGGGGAAAAAUGGGGAAAAUUGGGGAAAAAUUGGGGAAAAAAUGGGGAAAAAAUGGGGAAAAAUUGGGGAAAAAAUGGAGAAAAAUUGGGGAAAAAAAUGGGGAAAAAUUGGGGACAAAAAUUGGGGAAAUUUCCCCUCCUGAUCCGAUAAAAAAUGGGAAUCAAAGGGGACUGGGAAGGACUUUGUCUAAUAUAGACAAACAUUGCAAGGAAAAGGGGAAAUCCAUGGAAUUGUCCCCGAAUUCCCUGUGCUGGGCUCAGGCCGUUCCAAGGGGGAUCGGGGGCAGGAAAAUUCGGCUUUUCCUUAAAAAAAAGUGGGGAAGGGAGGGCGGGGAAUUCCCUCCCUGCUCCGCGCUCCGGCGUUUCGGCACAAAAAGCUCGAAAUUCCAGGCUUUGUAUAAAAAACGGGAUUUGUCCAAGCGGGACUUUGGGGGAAAAGGAAUUCUUGCCAUAAAAAAAUUGGGGAUGGAGCAAAAAUCAGCUCCAGCCCCGGGGGCCGCUCCGGGGAAUUUGGGGAUUUUGGGGAUUUUUCCAUCCAGGAGGGAAAUUCCUCUUUCUGGAUUUGGGGUUUUUUUUUUGGUUUUUCCCAUCCCAAAAUCUGCUCCGGGAAUUUUGUGGGGUUGUCAGAGGUGUUAA
rnacentral:lncRNA from 1 species